CUCCAGUCUUAUAACAUCAGUGAUUUUUACAUAUUGCUGCUAUACCCCACUCUCAGUAAUAGCGCAUACCUCCCAAUAGUUCUAAAGCUUGUGAGAUGUCCUGCUUUCAGAGUCCUGUCCUUCAUCUGUUGAUAUACACCUUAUUUGUGCAGCUGGACCCCUUUUUAAGGUAAGACUGGCCAUUUUGGGCAUUGCAAAUGAUGCAAGUAGUGUCAAUGGCACUGACACUCUCAUACUAUCACUGGUGUACAUCACUGCUUGGGUUAAUGCAGAAUCCUCAG